rfam:TPA: Bos taurus chromosome 11, whole genome shotgun sequence.
UCCCUGGUGGCUCAGAGAUUAAAGCGUCCGCCUGCAAUGUGGGAGACCUGGGUUCGAUCCCUGGGUUGGGAA